rnacentral:rRNA from 1 species
CAUGCAGUCGAACGAUGACUUUUGUGCUUGCACAGAAUGAUUAGUGGCGAACGGGUGAGUAACACGUGAGUAACCUGCCCCUGACUCUGGGAUAAGCCUGGGAAACUGGGUCUAAUACUGGAUAUGCACCGUAGACCGCAUGGUUUUUGGUGGAAAGAAUUUUGGUCAGGGAUGGACUCGCGGCCUAUCAGCUUGUUGGUGAGGUAAUGGCUCACCAAGGCGACGACGGGUAGCCGGCCUGAGAGGGUGACCGGCCACACUGGGACUGAGACACGGCCCAGACUCCUACGGGAGGCAGCAGUGGGGAAUAUUGCACAAUGGGCGAAAGCCUGAUGCAGCGACGCCGCGUGAGGGAUGACGGCCUUCGGGUUGUAAACCUCUUUCAGUAGGGAAGAAGCGAAAGUGACGGUACCUGCAGAAGAAGCGCCGGCUAACUACGUGCCAGCAGCCGCGGUAAUACGUAGGGCGCAAGCGUUAUCCGGAAUUAUUGGGCGUAAAGAGCUCGUAGGCGGUUUGUCGCGUCUGCCGUGAAAGUCCGAGGCUCAACUUCGGAUCUGCGGUGGGUACGGGCAGACUAGAGUGAUGUAGGGGAGACUGGAAUUCCUGGUGUAGCGGUGAAAUGCGCAGAUAUCAGGAGGAACACCGAUGGCGAAGGCAGGUCUCUGGGCAUCUACUGACGCUGAGGAGCGAAAGCAUGGGGAGCGAACAGGAUUAGAUACCCUGGUAGUCCAUGCCGUAAACGUUGGGCACUAGGUGUGGGGGACAUUCCACGUUUUCCGCGCCGUAGCUAACGCAUUAAGUGCCC